UGGGGAAUAUUGCGCAAUGGGCGAAAGCCUGACGCAGCGACGCCGUGUGAGGGAAGAAGGCUUUCGGGUCGUAAACCUCUGUCGGGAGGGGAAGAACCCCCAGGAGUCGAACAGGCUCUUGGGCUGACGGUACCUCCGAAGGAAGCACCGGCUAACUCCGUGCCAGCAGCCGCGGUAAUACGGAGGGUGCGAGCGUUAAUCGGAAUCACUGGGCGUAAAGCGCACGUAGGCGGUGCCGUAAGUCGGAUGUGAAAGCCCUCGGCUCAACCGGGGAACUGCAUUCGAUACUGCGGUGCUUGAGUGCCGGAGAGGGUGGCGGAAUUCCAGGUGUAGGAGUGAAAUCCGUAGAUAUCUGGAGGAACACCAGUGGCGAAGGCGGCCACCUGGCCGGCAACUGACGCUGAGGUGCGAAAGCGUGGGGAUCAAACAGGAUUAGAUACCCUGGUAGUCCACGCUGUAAAACGAUGGAAUACCAGGUGUCGGGGGUUUACCCUCGGUGCCGCAGUUAACGCGUUAAGUAUCCCGCCUGGGGGAGUACGGUCGCAAGGCUG
rnacentral:rRNA from 1 species